rnacentral:rRNA from 1 species
UACGUAGGGGGCAAGCGUUGUCCAGAUUUAUUGGGCGUAAAGCGCUCGCAGGUGGUUCGUCGCGUCGUGCGUGAAAGACCCCGGCUCAACUGGGGGAGGUCGUGCGAUACGGGCGGACUGGAGGCCAGUAGGGGGAUGCGGAAUUCCGGGUGUAGUGGUGAAAUGCGUAGAUAUCUGGAGGAAUACCGGUGGCGAAGGCGGCAUCCUGGACCGACAUUGACGCUGAGGAGCGAAAGCUAGGGGAGCAAACGGG